AACGCGAAGAACCUUACCCGGGUUUAAAUUGCAGUGGUUGUAGUCGGCAGAGAUGUCGGCGAACUCGCAAGAGUGCUGCUGUGAAGGUGCUGCAUGGCUGUCGUCAGCUCGUGCCGUGAGGUGUUGGGUUAAGUCCCGCAACGAGCGCAACCCUUGUCCUUAGUUGCCAGCGAGUAAUGUCGGGCACUCUGGGGAGACUGCCGUCAUAAGACGGAGGAAGGUGGGGAUGACGUCAAGUCAGCAUGGCCCUUACGUCCGGGGCUACACACGUGCUACAAUGGUCGGUACAACGGGCAGCGAGACCGCGAGGUGGAGCGAAUCCCUUUAAAGCCGGCCUCAGUUCGGAUUGCAGGCUGCAACUCGCCUGCAUGAAGUUGGAAUCACUAGUAACUGCAGAUCAGCUACGCUGCGGUGAAUGCGUUCCCGGGCCUUGUACACACCGAGUAUA
rnacentral:rRNA from 1 species